rnacentral:rRNA from 1 species
CACGUAGGGCGCAAGCGUUGUCCGGAAUUAUUGGGCGUAAAGAGCUCGUAGGUGGUUUGUUACGUCUGCUGUGAAAACCUAGGGCUUAACCCUGGGCUUGCAGUGGAUACGGGCAGACUAGAGGUAGGUAGGGGAGAAUGGAAUUCCUGGUGUAGCGGUGAAAUGCGCAGAUAUCAGGAGGAACACCGGUGGCGAAGGCGGUUCUCCGGGCCUUACCUGACACUGAGGAGCGAAAGCGUGGGGAGCGAACAGG